rnacentral:rRNA from 1 species
UUGACAUCCAGCGAACUUGGCAGAGAUGCCUUGGUGCCUUCGGGAACGCUGAGACGGGUGCUGCAUGGCUGUCGUCAGCUCGUGUUGUGAAAUGUUGGGUUAAGUCCCGNAACGAGCGCAACCCUUAUCCUUUGUUGCCAGCGAUUCGGUCGGGAACUCAAAGGAGACUGCCGGUGAUAAACCGGAGGAAGGUGGGGAUGACGUCAAGUCAUCAUGGCCCUUACGAGUAGGGCUACACACGUGCUACAAUGGCGCAUACAAAGAGAAGCGACCUCGCGAGAGCAAGCGGACCUCAUAAAGUGCGUCGUAGUCCGGAUCGGAGUCUGCAACUCGACUCCGUGAAGUCGGAAUCGCUAGUAAUCGUGGAUCAGAAUGCCACGGUGAAUACGUUCCCGGGCCUUGUACACACCGCCCGUCACACCAUGGGAGUGGGUUGCAAAAGAAGUAGGUAGCUUAACCUUCGGGAGGGCGCUUACCACUUUGUGAUUCAUGACUGGGGUGAAGUCGUAACAAGGUAAGCGUAGCGAG